GGGUUGUGAGGUUAAGCGACUAAGCGUACACGGUGGAUGCCCUGGCAGUCAGAGGCGAUGAAGGACGUGCUAAUCUGCGAUAAGCGUCGGUAAGGUGAUAUGAACCGUUAUAACCGGCGAUUUCCGAAUGGGGAAACCCAGUGUGUUUCGACACACUAUCAUUAACUGAAUCCAUAGGUUAAUGAGGCGAACCGGGGGAACUGAAACAUCUAAGUACCCCGAGGAAAAGAAAUCAACCGAGAUUCCCCCAGUAGCGGCGAGCGAACGGGGAGGAGCCCAGAGCCUGAAUCAGUGUGUGUGUUAGUGGAAGCGUCUGGAAAGGCGCGCGAUACAGGGUGACAGCCCCGUACACAAAAAUGCACAUGCUGUGAGCUCGAUGAGUAGGGCGGGACACGUGGUAUCCUGUCUGAAUAUGGGGGGACCAUCCUCCAAGGCUAAAUACUCCUGACUGACCGAUAGUGAACCAGUACCGUGAGGGAAAGGCGAAAAGAACCCCGGCGAGGGGAGUGAAAAAGAACCUGAAACCGUGUACGUACAAGCAGUGGGAGCACGCUUAGGCGUGUGACUGCGUACCUUUUGUAUAAUGGGUCAGCGACUUAUAUUCUGUAGCAAGGUUAACCGAAUAGGGGAGCCGAAGGGAAACCGAGUCUUAACUGGGCGUUAAGUUGCAGGGUAUAGACCCGAAACCCGGUGAUCUAGCCAUGGGCAGGUUGAAGGUUGGGUAACACUAACUGGAGGACCGAACCGACUAAUGUUGAAAAAUUAGCGGAUGACUUGUGGCUGGGGGUGAAAGGCCAAUCAAACCGGGAGAUAGCUGGUUCUCCCCGAAAGCUAUUUAGGUAGCGCCUCGUGAAUUCAUCUCCGGGGGUAGAGCACUGUUUCGGCAAGGGGGUCAUCCCGACUUACCAACCCGAUGCAAACUGCGAAUACCGGAGAAUGUUAUCACGGGAGACACACGGCGGGUGCUAACGUCCGUCGUGAAGAGGGAAACAACCCAGACCGCCAGCUAAGGUCCCAAAGUCAUGGUUAAGUGGGAAACGAUGUGGGAAGGCCCAGACAGCCAGGAUGUUGGCUUAGAAGCAGCCAUCAUUUAAAGAAAGCGUAAUAGCUCACUGGUCGAGUCGGCCUGCGCGGAAGAUGUAACGGGGCUAAACCAUGCACCGAAGCUGCGGCAGCGACGCUU
rnacentral:rRNA from 1 species